AUCUUUGAUGAUGAUAAUAUAGAUUGCAUUAAGUGCCAACUUAUCAUUGUAGAAGUUGCUCAAGUUCGGAAAACCCAUUUCCAAAUUUUCGUGGGCCUGGUGAAACUGGGGACAGAAAGUCAGACUAUAAAAAUUUUGUCUAACCAAAUUAAAUCAUUGUACUCUCUCAAUGUUGAUAUAUGUCAUCUAGAAGUAAAGGACAACAUUGUUUGCCCGCCGGGCACUUCUCCGCUGAUAAAGGACGGGUUCUCUCAAAGUUGACAGAUCAGAGGUCGUGGGUUCGACUUUCGGAGCUCUUGGAAGGCAAGGCACAUACUGGAAGACAGGAUUUAUCCUGGAAGGCAGGAAUGUCUUGAAAGGCAAGACGCAACAUGGGUUGGUUCACUAGGCACUUUGGCAAUCCAAUUGGAGAGGUGCUCGGACCCUGGUCAGUUGGAGGUAAAUCCCGCGAUUUAAUUGGUCUGUGUGAAGAGGGGCCGGAUCACAGACCCAAAGAAUAGUCGCCGAAAGCGGACACCUUGAUAAAAAAAAAGGACAACAUUGUUUUUAUUAGUUGGAUAGCAUGCUCAACUGACAAGAUUACUAGCAUGAAAUAAAAUACAAAUUUGCAUUAUCCCUUUGAUAGAAAUGAUUCCACUACCUUAGACUUCUAAUGAACUUCAUGGAUCAGAUCUGUAACACAUUUCUAGCCUUUUGUACCUGUCUAAUCUCUCUACUAAAGUGUUCAUUACAUAAACUUGGAAGUUAAGGCAAUGUAGUUAACGUUGUGAUAUUUUUGACAAACAUGUUUUCAGGUCCGUUCUCUGCUACAGUAUGAUUUCAUUUGUCACAUUUUUCACUCA